GGAUGUGAGGGUGAUCUGGCUGCAACAUCUGUCACCCCAUUCAUCACCAAGGUUGAUUCGGCUGAUCUGGCUGGCUGGGCAGGUGUCCCCUUCCUCCCUUGAUGCUCCGUGUGUCUCCCUCCAGAAGCUGCGUGCUUGGUCGGUUGAAGAGGAUGAUCACCCCCAUUAGAGGUGCACUGUUCUUUGGUCAAGGGUUUAAGAAAAGCUGGGUUCCCCCACUGGAACCUCCAAACAAUCUCAUAGACCAGUGACAUUGACAGUAACCAGUGUGAGGUGUUUAUUGAAUCUUAUUGCAUAAUU
rnacentral:snRNA from 1 species